rnacentral:rRNA from 1 species
CAGCAGCCGCGGGAAUACGGAGGGAGCUAGCGUUGUUCGGAAUUACUGGGCGUAAAGCGCACGUAGGCGGUUAUUCAAGUCAGAGGUGAAAGCCCGGGGCUCAACCCCGGAACUGCCUUUGAAACUAGAUGACUGGAAUCUUGGAGAGGUCAGUGGAAUUCCGAGUGUAGAGGUGAAAUUCGUAGAUAUUCGGAAGAACACCAGUGGCGAAGGCGACUGACUGGACAAGUAUUGACGCUGAGGUGCGAAAGCGUGGGGAGCAAACAGGAUUAGAUACCCCGGUAGUCCCUGUCUCUUAUAC